rnacentral:rRNA from 1 species
UACGUAGGGGGCAAGCGUUGUCCGGAUUUAUUGGGCGUAAAGAGCGUGUAGGCGGCCAGGGAGGUCCGUUGUGAAAACUCGAGGCUCAACCUCGAGACGCCGAUGGAAACCCCCUGGCUAGAGUCCGGAAGAGGAGAGUGGAAUUCCUGGUGUAGCGGUGGAAUGCGCAGAUAUCAGGAGGAACACCGAUUGCGAAGGCAGCUCGCUGGGACGUCACUGACGCUGAGACGCGAAAGCGUGGGGAGCAAACAGG